rnacentral:rRNA from 1 species
UAGGGAAUCUUCCACAAUGGACGCAAGUCUGAUGGAGCAACGCCGCGUGAGUGAAGAAGGCUUUCGGGUCGUAAAACUCUGUUAUUGAAGAAGAACGUGUGUGACAGUAACUGGUCAUGCAGUGACGGUAUUCAAUCAGAAAGUCACGGCUAACUACGUGCCAGCAGCCGCGGUAAUACGUAGGUGGCAAGCGUUGUCCGGAUUUAUUGGGCGUAAAGCNAGUGCAGGCGGUCUUUUAAGUCUGUGUGAAAGCCU